GACUAAGCGUACACGGUGGAUGCCCUGGCAGUCAGAGGCGAUGAAGGACGUGCUAAUCUGCGAAAAGCGUCGGUAAGGUGAUAUGAACCGUUAUAACCGGCGAUGUCCGAAUGGGGAAACCCAGUGCAAUUCGUUGCACUAUCGUUAACUGAAUACAUAGGUUAACGAGGCGAACCGGGGGAACUGAAACAUCUAAGUACCCCGAGGAAAAGAAAUCAACCGAGAUUCCCCCAGUAGCGGCGAGCGAACGGGGAGCAGCCCAGAGUCUGAAUCAGCUUGUGUGUUAGUGGAACGGUCUGGAAAGUCCGACGGUACAGGGUGAUAGUCCCGUACACCAAAAUGCACAGGCUGUGAACUCGAAGAGUAGGGCGGGACACGUGGUAUCCUGUCUGAAUAUGGGGGGACCAUCCUCCAAGGCUAAAUACUCCUGACUGACCGAUAGUGAACCAGUACCGUGAGGGAAAGGCGAAAAGAACCCCGGCGAGGGGAGUGAAAAAGAACCUGAAACCGUGUACGUACAAGCAGUGGGAGCACCUUCGGGUGUGACUGCGUACCUUUUGUAUAAUGGGUCAGCGACUUAUAUUCUGUAGCAAGGUUAACCGUAUAGGGGAGCCGCAGGGAAACCGAGUCUUAACUGGGCGUUAAGUUGCAGGGUAUAGACCCGAAACCCGGUGAUCUAGCCAUGGGCAGGUUGAAGGUUGGGUAACACUAACUGGAGGACCGAACCGACUAAUGUUGAAAAAUUAGCGGAUGACUUGUGGCUGGGGGUGAAAGGCCAAUCAAACCGGGAGAUAGCUGGUUCUCCCCGAAAGCUAUUUAGGUAGCGCCUCGUGAACUCAUCUUCGGGGGUAGAGCACUGUUUCGGCUAGGGGGUCAUCCCGACUUACCAACCCGAUGCAAACUACGAAUACCGAAGAAUGUUAUCACGGGAGACACACGGCGGGUGCUAACGUCCGUCGUGAAGAGGGAAACAACCCAGACCGCCAGCUAAGGUCCCAAAGUCAUGGUUAAGUGGGAAACGAUGUGGGAAGGCACAGACAGCCAGGAUGUUGGCUUAGAAGCAGCCAUCAUUUAAAGAAAGCGUAAUAGCUCACUGGUCGAGUCGGCCUGCGCGGAAGAUGUAACGGGGCUAAACCAUGCACCGAAGCUGCGGCAGCGACACUAUGUGUUGUUGGGUAGGGGAGCGUUCUGUAAGCCUGCGAAGGUGUGCUGUGAGGCAUGCUGGAGGUAUCAGAAGUGCGAAUGCUGACAUAAGUAACGAUAAAGCGGGUGAAAAGCCCGCUCGCCGGAAGACCAAGGGUUCCUGUCCAACGUUAAUCGGGGCAGGGUGAGUCGACCCCUAAGGCGAGGCCGAAAGGCGUAGUCGAUGGGAAACAGGUUAAUAUUCCUGUACUUGGUGUUACUGCGAAGGGGGGACGGAGAAGGCUAUGUUAGCCGGGCGACGGUUGUCCCGGUUUAAGCAUGUAGGCUGGUUGUCCAGGCAAAUCCGGAUAAUCAAGGCUGAGGUGUGAUGACGAGGCACUACGGUGCUGAAGUAACAAAUGCCCUGCUUCCAGGAAAAGCCUCUAAGCAUCAGGUAACAUCAAAUCGUACCCCAAACCGACACAGGUGGUCAGGUAGAGAAUACCAAGGCGCUUGAGAGAACUCGGGUGAAGGAACUAGGCAAAAUGGUGCCGUAACUUCGGGAGAAGGCACGCUGGUGUGUAGGUGAAGUCCCUGCGGAUGGAGCUGAGACCAGUCGAAGAUACCAGCUGGCUGCAACUGUUUAUUAAAAACACAGCACUGUGCAAACACGAAAGUGGACGUAUACGGUGUGACGCCUGCCCGGUGCCGGAAGGUUAAUUGAUGGGGUUAUCCGUAAGGAGAAGCUCUUGAUCGAAGCCCCGGUAAACGGCGGCCGUAACUAUAACGGUCCUAAGGUAGCGAAAUUCCUUGUCGGGUAAGUUCCGACCUGCACGAAUGGCGUAAUGAUGGCCAGGCUGUCUCCACCCGAGACUCAGUGAAAUUGAACUCGCUGUGAAGAUGCAGUGUACCCGCGGCAAGACGGAAAGACCCCGUGAACCUUUACUAUAGCUUGACACUGAACAUUGAGCCUUGAUGUGUAGGAUAGGUGGGAGGCUUUGAAGCGUGGACGCCAGUCUGCGUGGAGCCAACCUUGAAAUACCACCCUUUAAUGUUUGAUGUUCUAACGUUGGCCCCUGACCGGGGUUGCGGACAGUGUCUGGUGGGUAGUUUGACUGGGGCGGUCUCCUCCCAAAGCGUAACGGAGGAGCACGAAGGUUAGCUAAUCCUGGUCGGACAUCAGGAGGUUAGUGCAAUGGCAUAAGCUAGCUUGACUGCGAGCGUGACGGCGCGAGCAGGUGCGAAAGCAGGUCAUAGUGAUCCGGUGGUUCUGAAUGGAAGGGCCAUCGCUCAACGGAUAAAAGGUACUCCGGGGAUAACAGGCUGAUACCGCCCAAGAGUUCAUAUCGACGGCGGUGUUUGGCACCUCGAUGUCGGCUCAUCACAUCCUGGGGCUGAAGUAGGUCCCAAGGGUAUGGCUGUUCGCCAUUUAAAGUGGUACGCGAGCUGGGUUUAGAACGUCGUGAGACAGUUCGGUCCCUAUCUGCCGUGGGCGCUGGAGAAUUGAGGGGGGCUGCUCCUAGUACGAGAGGACCGGAGUGGACGCAUCACUGGUGUUCGGGUUGUCAUGCCAAUGGCACUGCCCGGUAGCUAAAUGCGGAAGAGAUAAGUGCUGAAAGCAUCUAAGCACGAAACUUGCCCC
rnacentral:rRNA from 1 species